rnacentral:rRNA from 1 species
CAAUACGAUUACCGAAGUUAAGCAACAUCCAUCCAGGUCAGUACUUAGAUGGGAGACCGCUUGGGAAUACCAGGUGCUGUAAG